rnacentral:sRNA from 1 species
AGUCGUAUGAUUAUUUGUCUGUAGUGGUCCUGCUGU